rfam:Medicago truncatula strain A17 chromosome 6, whole genome shotgun sequence.
AAACAGCCUCCUAUGUAUUGGAUCUUUGACAGUUUUGGUCCCAAUAUCACUUUUGAUUUAGUCUUCGCUGAGGUGGCACCCACAAUGGUCGACACGUGGCACCUCACAUAAGGAAUGUGCGUGCCACGUCAGCGAAGACUAAGUCAAAAGUGGCAUUGGAGGCCAAAACUGCCAAAAAUCCAAUACAUAGGGGGUUGUCU